GCAUGUCGAUCCCGCAAGGGACCUCGUACAUGUAUAUAUACCCCGAGUCUGAUGAUCCUCACGGAUUGUCGGCUUUGGUUGGGCAGGCUAGGCUUUCGGGCCUGGACUGCUCCGGACAGUGUGCUUGGAGACGCCUUUCGGGGUGACUUUGGGUGCCUGGCCACAUAGACGCUUAUUAGUUUGACAGAGUUUAGGUUGAAACCAAUAAAAAUGACAACUUUUAACAAUGGAUCUCUUGGCUCUUGCAACGAUGAAGAACGCAGUGAAAUGCGAAAAGUAAUGCGAUUUGCAUGAAUCUGUGAGUCAUCAAGUCUUUGAACGCACCUUGCACCGUAUGAGCAAUCGUACGGUAUACCUGUUUGAGAAUCGUAAAACUCUCUUUCCACCAGUUGGUGGGGAUGGAUUUGUCGGUUGUGCGAGCCUUGUGCUCGUACUCUGAUCAAAAGUAGUAGGUUUGGAUCAGGCUAGUGGCCUGGGACAUUGUGUGCUAGAGACGCUGCUUUAAUUAGUUAGUCUUCUCACAAUGCGUCCUGGGCCCUUUGAAAGCUAGCUCUGAUUGGCGACCUCUUCAGUGAACUGGGUGCAAACCCGGGACACAACCCCCUUUUUGAUCUCAAAUCAGGUAAGGCUACCCGCUGAACUUAAGCAUAUCAAUA
rnacentral:rRNA from 1 species